ACCUCAUUUUCUCUUCUCUCGUGCUUUAUCUUCUCUCUCUCAAUCUCUUUUCUCUGCCUCUGCUUCCUCUUCCUCGAUCUCACCGGUUAGGCUUUUCAAUUGAGCCGCAUUUUCAACUGCACACUCUUCUUAGCUGAAUUCCCUGGACAAUCAUGGCUGACAAAGGAGAAAAAUCAUGUCCCAUAUGCACCGAGGAGAUGGAUCUGACUGAUCAGCAGCUGAAGCCAUGCAAAUGUGGUUACGAGGUUUAAACUUGUUUAUAUACCUUUAUCUGGUUUUAUUUACAUUAAUAUCUUCCUUUGUUCAUUUAUGAUUUUGAAUUUAUUGUUGAAUACUCUGGUUUGAUGCUUGUUCAAAUAUUUGUGCAUCAUACAUAAUCCAUUUGGUGAAGCUGAAAAGUUGGAAGAAUUAGUGAGACUGAGUUCGUAUAUAUUAUAAUGCUUAUCCUCAUCAAUCAUACUUGUUCAUUCUUUCUCUUCCCCUAUCUUUUCCAUAGAUUUGUGUAUGGUGUUGGCAUCAUAUAAUGGAAAUGGCACAGAAGGAUGAAAAUGAAGGCCGUUGUCCAGCCUGUCGUUCACCUUAUGACAAAGACCGCAUUGUGGCAAUGGCUGCAAACUGUCAAAGAUUGGUAGCUGAAAUGAAUUCACAGCAUAAAAAGAAAAUGCAGAAAUUGAAACCUAAAUCAUCGGAUGGAAGAAAACAUCUUAGUGAUGUUAGGGUCAUUCAGCGCAAUCUAGUUUACAUAAUUGGGUUGCCUCUUAACCUUGCAGAUGAAGAACUACUUCAACGCAGGGAUUACUUUGGCAGGUAUGGAAAGGUUUUAAAAGUGUCAAUAUCACGAACAGCAAAUGGCAUAAUCCAACAUUCUGGAAACAACAGCUGUUGUGUGUAUAUAACUUACUCAAAAGAGUCUGAAGCAGUUCGAUGUAUUCAAUCAGUGCAUUGUUUUGUAUUAGAAGGUAGAUCCUUGAGGGCUUGUUUUGGAACCACAAAGUAUUGCCAUGCAUGGUUGAGAAAUGUGCCUUGCAGCAACAGAGAUUGUUUAUAUUUACAUGAUCAUGGUUCUCACGAGGAUAGCUUUACAAAAGAUGAACUAGUUUUAGCAUUUGCUAGGAGUAGAGUCCAACAAAUCAUUGGUGCUACAAAUAAUUUGCAUCGGCGUUCAGGGAGUGCUUUACCUCCACCAGUAGAUGAUCUUAAACACACGUCAUCAGCCACCAAGUUAAUGUCCAAGGGUCCUUUAGAUAAAUUUGAGAACCAGAUUAAAGGAGCUGGUUCAGCUAUUGGGGCCAUCAAUUCAACAGCACUUCCUGCGGUGAACUCCUGGGUUAGGUGUGUAUCUGGCAGUCUUCCACAGGAUACAAGUUCAUCAUGUUCUGGUAAUCUAGCCAAUAGGAAUGUUGAGGCAUCUAAUGAUCCACAAGCCCUUGUGUCAGGAUUUGCUUGCACUGAGAAGUCUAUUCUUGAUACAAGACCAGGGGAAGCUGAAAAUUGUUCUGGUGUACAUUCCAACAGUAUUUUCAUACCUACAGAGAUGAACAAGCAUAAUAUUGGUGGAAAUUCUCAAACAUCAGCUUUAAUGGGCAAUGAUCAAGAUAUGGUAGUCCCUUCAGUGAGCACAAGCUUCCUGGAGCUCUCCAGACCACAGGAUUUCAAUAUUGACAGAGCAGUUAGCAUUAAUUCAAAUAGGGAUGUACAUGGCUUAUGUUUAGGGUUAUCAUCUGUUAGCAUUACUAGUCAUCUAGAAGAUUCACAUUCCACUCUUGAUUCAGAUGGAUUACCUCUUACUUAUAAUUCCAUUAAUUCCUCUAUAGGGGAGAAUUUGCAGCAAGAUAAUGAGUAUUCAAAAGAACAUUCAUCCACGCCAAUUUUUUGGGAAGAUAUUGUUGAGGAUGAUAUACAAAACAUAGAUUAUGAACAAAAAUUCAGCAAAGGCAUCAAUAAUUCAUCAUCUGGGCUCCAUUCAACUUGUCUACCACAGAAUGUAAACCAAUCAAGCCAUCAACCACAGCAUCAAGAUCAAAUUUGUCACCAGAAUCAUUUGGGAAAACCUUCUGAGUCUUUAAAUGAACAUUUGGAGACGGGAUUUGUGAAACAAGUGCAGAGUGGGGAUACUGGUACAAGUUUUGAUAGCAAGAUUGCGUCAGACAUGGGAGAGAACAACAUUAUAUCUAAUAUUUUGUCUUUGGAAUUAGAUGCAUGGGAAGAUUCACUAGUUAAGUUGUUGGGUGAAAGUGAUGAACCCUACACACCCUUUAAAGCAACUACUUUGCGGAAAGUCCAAGACAAAAAUCAGUCAAGGUUUUCCUUUGCCAGGGAGGACAAUUUUAUGAAUGAGGCAUCUAAUUUGCAACAAUCAUGUAGGGCUGCUGGACCUGAUCCUGAAGAGAACUUUGCAUCAAGUGGUUUAUUGGGAAGCAAGGAUACACUCAAUGGGAAAUACCCCCAUGCUUUCUCACCUAGCAAUUCUAUGCUAUCAACUAAAUUUGUUGGAAGUCAGGCUUUUGUGCCCUCUACUUUUUCCAUGUCAAAUGCUCAUGCAUCAAGCCCACCAGGAUUUUCUGUGUCCAGCAGAAUACCUCCAGGGUUUUCGUUUGGGAGAGUAGAACAUGAUUAUGAUAGUUCUGUGAAACAUUUGCAACAGCAGUAUGUUUCUCCAUCUGGAAAUAUUGACAGGAUAGGAGAUGUUGAAUUUAAUGAUCUUGCAGUAUUGGGCCUCGGUAAGGGCAUACUGACAGAAAGGUUGAAUAAUGCUUCUUUUGACAUGAGGCAAACUUCACUUCCACAAUUUAGUCCCAGUGAAGAUGAUCCCAGAAUUAAGCUGUUAAUGCAACAAUCCACACCUACACAGAGUUUAAGACUUCCAGAUCAUAUUGGAAAUUGGUUUUCCCCCCAAAAUGAUGCUUAUAGAAUUUCUUCAAGGUUUCUCAAUCAAUUUCAGUCUAACAGUUCAUCAAUUUAUGAACAAUUACAUUCUCAACAGUUUGGUAGCAAUAAUCUGGCAUCGAAUAACCAGUGGGGUAGUUGGAAUGAUGCCAAGAAUUUCAGUGGCCUGUCUAUGUCUGAAGUAUUGAAUAACGAGAGAGUGGGAUUUAGUAAUUUCAUGCCCAGUUAUGAGAAUAUCAAGUUUUAAACACCUUCAUUCACGGAUCUACUGCAACAGUGAUGUUGGUGAUUUUGUUUCAACUGUAAUUCAAUUCCACUUUAAUGCGCUAAUGGCCGAUGUGAAAUGUCAAAGAUUGAUUUGGCUAAAGUUAUGUUUUAGUAAAACCAUGUAGUGGAGGCACCUUGAGACCCGAUUCAAUCAGUUUUGGAAUUUGGUUACUUUGAACUCCAAUCACAAUUGUGCCAUCAAAUGGUCAGUAGUAUCAGCCUCCCUUUUCGCUUAGCCUUGUUGCUAAGCGCUGGAAUAUGGUGUUUUCCUCAUUAUGGUUGGGAGAACCUGCAAACUGUCAACUUUUUCUAUGGGUUACAUAACUGGAGAACUAUCUUUGCCUUGGAGGUAAUUAUGUGGGUCAGUAUAUGCCAUCAGACUGCCGAAACUGACAGGGAGCUAAGAUGAUAAGCCUUAAUGGAUUUGACGUUUUAAUGGGACCUGAAAUAAUUUGUUGUCUCGAAUGUUACUUAUGUUGAAAUUGAAGGUCUCUGUUAUCCACUGAUACUUAAUGUAUAUAUGUGAAUAUAUAUUUGAAUUUUGUUACUAAUGCUCUUCCAUGUGACACCGGAUGCUAGAUUGUACUUAGGGUUGACAAUUGGAUCCAUUAAACUAUCAUUCAUUCACAUUUAAUUACGAUCAAAGUGAUUCAGUUAUCU